rnacentral:rRNA from 1 species
AAAUCUAGCACCUUCGGUGUUCGAGUUGUAAUUUGAAGAUGGUAACCUUGGGUUUGGCUCUUGUCUAUGUUCCUUGGAACAGGACGUCAUAGAGGGUGAGAAUCCCGUCUGAUGAGAAGCCCAUUCCUAUGUAAGGUACUAUCGAAGAGUCGAGUUGUUUGGGAAUGCAGCUCUAAGUGGGUGGUAAAUUCCAUCUAAAGCUAAAUAUUGGCGAGAGACCGAUAGCGAACAAGUACAGUGAUGGAAAGAUGAAAAGAACUUUGAAAAGAGAGUGAAAAAGUACGUGAAAUUGUUGAAAGGGAAGGGCAUUAGAUCAGACUUGGUGUUUUACGAUUAUCUUCUCUUCUUGAGUUGUGCACUCGUAUUUCACUGGGCCAGCAUCGAUUCGGAUGGUAAGAUAAUGGCAGU